AGUUCUCCCUGAGACUUUAAGUCUCCUGAAGGAACGUUAAAGACGAUGACGUUGAUAGGCCGGGUGUGUAAGCGCAGCGAUGCGUUGAGCUAACCGGUACUAAUGAACCGUGAGGCUUAACCUUACAACGCCGAAG
rnacentral:rRNA from 1 species